CGCCCUCUUAAGUAUAUACUAUCAGAGAAGUUGAUUCCCAGGCAGAUGGGGAACCUACUCAGUUUGGUCGCGUUACGAGAAACUCAGCCGGCAGAUCACAAUUAUCAUUGGAUUGACAUGAUCCGACCAAAUUACGUUGGUCUGUCAACUGACGAGCAAUCAAUUUCCUUGAUGGUACAAU